CCUACGGGUGGCAGCAGUAGGGAAUCUUUCACAAUGGGCGAAAGCCUGAUGGAGCAACGCCGCGUGCAGGAUGAAGGCCUUCGGGUUGUAAACUGCUUUUAUAAGCGAGAAAUAUGAUGGUAACUUAUGAAUAAGGAUCGGCUAACUACGUGCCAGCAGCCGCGGUCAUACGUAGGAUCCGAGCAUUAUCCGGAGUGACUGGGUGUAAAGAGUUGCGUAGGUGGGUGAAGAAGGAGUUAGUGAAAUCUGGUGGCUCAACCAUUCAGACUAUUAGCUAAACUGUUAAGCUCGAGACCGUGAGGGGUAACUGGAAUUUCUAGUGUAGGAGUGAAAUCCGUAGAUAUUAGAAGGAACACCAAUAGCGAAGGCAGGUUGCUGGGACGGUUCUGACACUAAGGCACGAAAGCGUAGGGAGCAAACGGGAUUAGAUACCCGAGUAGUC
rnacentral:rRNA from 1 species